GUAGGGUGCGAGCGUUAAUCGGAAUUACUGGGCGUAAAGCGUGCGCAGGCGGUUCGUUAUGUCCGUUGUGAAAGCCCCGGGCUCAACCUGGGAAUGGCAAUGGAAACUGGCGGGCUAGAGUGUGGCAGAGGGGGGUGGAAUUCCGCGUGUAGCAGUGAAAUGCGUAGAGAUGCGGAGGAACACCGAUGGCGAAGGCAGCCCCCUGGGCUAGCACUGACGCUCAGGCACGAAAGCGUGGGGAGCAAACAGGAUUAGAUACCCUGGUAGUCCACGCCCUAAACGAUGAUCACUAGGUGUUGGCGGAGCAAUCUGCUGGUACCGUAGCUAACGCGUGAAGUGAUCCGCCUGGGGAGUACGGUCGCAAGAUUA
rnacentral:rRNA from 1 species